GCCAGUUUGGCUCAGUGGAAAGAGCUUCGGCCUACAGACCAAAGGGCUCCGGGUUCGAUUCCUGGCACGGGCA
rnacentral:tRNA from 1 species